rnacentral:lncRNA from 1 species
CUUCUUCAACCCAGGAGGCAGAGGUUGCAGUGAGCCGAGAUGGUGCCACUGCACUCCAGCCUGGACAACAGAGCGAGACUCCAUGUGAAAAAAAAAAAAAAAAAAAGAAUCCAUUUGGUUGAUCCCAAGAAUCCCAUAAACAAGACAGUGUCUGAAUUGUGAAGCUAUAUUAGCCUCCACAACACUGUUCAGUUGAUUUGCUUAUUACAAAAUGAGAAAAGAGGGCAUACUUUCUCCCCAGGCCCCUAGGCAAGAUUUGGUCACAGCACAUAGCAAAGGGAAUUUCUCUUUGGUGACUAUUCAACAGGAUGAAUUCCUGCUAUCUAUGAUCAGCUACGUAUUGACAUCAGGGAGGGUUCGGGGCACAGAAUGCUCUCAGUGCUUCAUUUUGGCUACAUAUCUCCCUCUAUCAAGUUUCUAGUGUCAGAACAAAAUUUGUAGACAUUGCUUGGAUGAUCCAGAUAAUUAACUGGCAACGCUGAAAUUCCCAAAAAAUAAAGGCUUUUGUGCUACUGUCUUCUACAACAAUACAAUGAUCAAAAUGCAUAGCAGGAGCAACUGGUAAAUGAAAAGGAAAACAAAACUUUAGGUCAGGUAUUCCAGUGUGUCCUUGGGACACCUCAGUGAGCAUGUGGCCUCUAUGUGCACAUUAACUGCUUCUUACAUCACAAGGAAUUUACUGACAUCCUUCACUGAAGGUCAAGAUCAUGCGGCUUCUGGUAGCCUCGCCACAUGGUGCCAGGAGUCUCCAGUCAUGGAGUUCAUAAUGGAGCCCCUCCCGCAGGGGCUGGCAAUGCCACAGAAAGUUUUCUCAGCCCUCAUAACAUAGGCAGAC